GAGCGGUUUCCUUCACGUAUGAUGAAGAUCCAAAUUGUAUCCAUCUGUGGUGUGGCUCCAAGUCGGCUCGUGGAAACUCAACCUCAUCAAUCAGUAUCACUGCCAUCAAUCAGUGCACAAAACGGGACUUAGGGGAUGGCCAGAGGACUCCUUGAGUUAGCUGGAAGUUCUUGACCUGUUGCCUACCUUAGGUCAAGUGAACAGCAUCCAAGAAUACGGAACAAACUCUCAGGAACCUGAUGACGAACAGGCAGAUGACUGAAAGACACGACUUCAGACCAUUUAAAGUCUGUUUUUUUUUUUAUUAAAAGUUCUUGUUUGCACAUAAGCACAGCCUGGAUAAGAAUUGUGUUAUAGUAAUACACUAUGGUCUUGUAAAAUAUAAAUGCUUCAAUUUAGUCUUGG
rnacentral:lncRNA from 1 species